rnacentral:rRNA from 1 species
UACGAAGGGGGCUAGCGUUGCUCGGAAUCACUGGGCGUAAAGGGUGCGUAGGCGGGUCUUUAAGUCAGGGGUGAAAUCCUGGAGCUCAACUCCAGAACUGCCUUUGAUACUGAAGAUCUUGAGUUCGGGAGAGGUGAGUGGAACUGCGAGUGUAGAGGUGAAAUUCGUAGAUAUUCGCAAGAACACCAGUGGCGAAGGCGGCUCUCUGGCACGAUACUGACGCUGAGGCGCGAAAGCGUGGGGAGCAAACAGG